rnacentral:rRNA from 1 species
UAUUGCACAAUGGGGGAAACCCUGAUGCAGCGACGCCGCGUGAAGGAAGAAGUAUUUCGGUAUGUAAACUUCUAUCAGCAGGGAAGAAAAUGACGGUACCUGACUAAGAAGCCCGGGCUAAUUACGUGCCAGCAGCCGCGGUAAUACGUAAGGGGCAAGCGUUAUCCGGAUUUACUGGGUGUACAGGGAGCGUAGACGGCAGUGCAAGUCUGAUGUGAAAGCCCGGGGCUCAACCCCGGGACUGCAUUGGAAACUGUGCAGCUAGAGUGUCGGAGAGAUAAGUGGAAUUCCUAGUGUAGCGGUGAAAUGCGUAGAUAUUAGGAGGAACACCAGUAGCGAAAGCGGCUUACUGGACGAUAACUGACGUUGAGGCUCGAAAGCGUGGGGAGCAAACAGG